GACCAGUGAUACCGUUGGCGCGACCCUGGUAGAGGAAGCCGGUGAGAAUCCGGCGCAGUCGCGCUACUGUGACACCAGUUCGACGGUCGGUGACGACCACGAGCGGGUGAAGCCAGACCCGAGCCAAGAGGUUGCCCAGC
rnacentral:ncRNA from 2 species